rnacentral:rRNA from 1 species
CACUCCUACGGGAGGCAGCAGUGGGGAAUAUUGCACAAUGGGCGCAAGCCUGAUGCAGCCAUGCCGCGUGUAUGAAGAAGGCCUUCGGGUUGUAAAGUACUUUCAGCAGUGAGGAAGGUGGGUAUGUUAAUAGCAUACUCAUUUGACGUUAGCUGCAGAAGAAGCACCGGCUAACUCCGUGCCAGCAGCCGCGGUAAUACGGAGGGUGCGAGCGUUAAUCGGAAUUACUGGGCGUAAAGCGCAUGCAGGUGGUUUGUUAAGUCAGAUGUGAAAGCCCGGGGCUCAACCUCGGAAUUGCAUUGAAACUGGCAAACUAGAGUACUGUAGAGGGGGUAGAAUUUCAGGUGUAGCGGUGAAAUGCGUAGAGAUCUGAAGGAAUACCGGUGGCGAAGGCGGCCCCCUGGACAGAUACUGACACUCAGAUGCGAAAGCGUGGAGAGCAAACAGGAUUAGAUACCCUGGUAG